rnacentral:rRNA from 1 species
UACGUAGGGGGCAAGCGUUGUCCGGAAUCAUUGGGCGUAAAGAGCGCGUAGGCGGUCCAGUAAGUCCGCUCUGAAAGUCCGGGGCUCAACCCCGGGAGGCGGGCGGAUACUGCUGGGCUAGAGUCCGGAAGAGGCGAGUGGAAUUCCUGGUGUAGCGGUGAAAUGCGCAGAUAUCAGGAGGAACACCAAAUGGCGAAGGCAGCUCGCUGGGACGGUACUGACGCUGAGGCGCGAAAAGCGUGGGGGAGCAAACAGG